CCCUUAGAUGUUCUGGGCUGCACGCGCGCUACACUGAUGCGAUCAACAAGUUUUUCCUAUGUCGAUAGACACGGGUAAUCUUUUGAACUCGCAUCGUGAUGGGGAUAGAUUAUUGUAAUUAUUAAUCUUCAACGAGGAAUUCCUAGUAGGUGCAAAUCAUCAGUUUGCAUCGAUUACGUCCCUGCCCUUUGUACACACCGCCCGUCACUGCUACCGAUUGGUUGAUCUGGUGAAUUAUUCGGACUGCCGGCUGAAGGGGUUUCCUCAUCUGCCAGCGGAAAGUCUUGUUAACCCUAUCAACUAGAGGAAGCAGAAGUCGUAACA
rnacentral:rRNA from 1 species